rnacentral:lncRNA from 1 species
CGCGGCGAGCAGGGCGAGCGUGCAGGACGCGGGGCGGCGCGGCGGCUUACGCGGGGCCUAGGAUCUCUGCCCAGCAGUAGGCCUCUUACCUGUCGGUUGCCUCCCGGACAACGUGUCUCCCCAUGGUCUGCAGCAGGCAGAAAGGCCCGGUGAGAAAUACGGUGGUGAUUGAGAGUCCCUGCCUGAAGAAGUGGCAGGUCAAGUCUGCGGCUGCAGCGAGUGCCUGAGUCUGUUGGUGCCGGAGAAGGGAGGCGGGAACUGCAGGCUGGCGCGUGGUGGUGGGGAA